UACGUAGGGCGCAAGCGUUGUCCGGAAUUAUUGGGCGUAAAGAGCUCGUAGGCGGCCUGUUGCGUCCGCUGUGAAAACCCGGGGCUUAACCCCGGGCUUGCAGUGGAUACGGGCAGGCUGGAGGCAGGCAGGGGAGAACGGAAUUCCCGGUGUAGCGGUGAAAUGCGCAGAUAUCAGGAGGAACACCGGUGGCGAAGGCGGUUCUCUGGGCAUUACCUGACGCUGAGGAGCGAAAGUGUGGGGAGCGAACAGG
rnacentral:rRNA from 1 species